rnacentral:misc_RNA from 1 species
AAAGUCGUAACAAGGUUUCCGUAGGUGAACCUGCGGAAGGAUCAUUACCAACAUUGAUAAACAGAGAUAAAGCCUUCACUCUUGCGGGUCUCAGGUGGAAACAUGGGGAGGUGCAGUAGUGCGGUCAAUGUCAGGUGUCGUAAACGUCAGGCUGAUAUACCGUCGCAUCUCCUCCCACCCUUUCGAGAAAGCAUGGUUUCACUCUUAUUAUUAUCUCAAACACUUGUAUACUUAUCCCACUUCUUCCGUGAAUGCAAGUUCACGGACAUACACAUAACAUUCUGUUUUUAUAUUCAUGUCUGAUAAAACUAUAAUAAAGUUAAAACUUUCAACAACGGAUCUCUUGGUUCUC